ensembl:snRNA U6 U6 spliceosomal RNA
GUGCUCACUUUGGCAGUGCAUAUACUAAAAUUGGAAUGAUACUGGGAAGAUUCGCAUGGAGCCUGGUCAAGGAUGACACACACAUUCGUGAGGCUUUCCAUAUGUUU